CCUACGGGUGGCAGCAGUGGGGGAUAUUGCACAAUGGGGGAAACCCUGAUGCAGCGACGCCGCGUGGGUGAAGAAGCGCCUCGGCGCGUAAAGCCCUGUCAGCAGGGAAGAAAAUGACGGUACCUGAAGAAGAAGCCCCGGCUACCUACGUGCCAGCAGCCGCGGUAAUACGUAGGGGGCAAGCGUUAUUCGGAUUUACUGGGUGUAAAGGGGGCGCAGACGGCGAUGCAAGCAAGGAGUGAAAGCCCGGGGCCCAACCCCGGGACUGCUCUUGGAACUGCGUGGCGAGAGUGCAGGAGGGGCAAGCGGAAUUCCUGGUGUAGCGGUGAAAUGCGUAGAUAUCAGGAGGAACACCGGUGGCGAAGGCGGCCUGCUGGACUGCAACUGACGUUGAGGCCCGAAAGCGUGGGGAGCAAACAGGAUUAGAUACCCGAGUAGUC
rnacentral:rRNA from 1 species